GAUGAACGCUAGCGGCAGGCUUAACACAUGCAAGUCGAGGGCAGCAUGAGACGGAGAUUCGUCGAAGUCUUGAUGGCGACCGGCGCAAGGGUGCGUAACGCGUGAGCAACUUGCCCGUUUCAGGGGGAUAACCGGUGGAAACGCCGACUAAUACCCCAUAGUAUCAUUUAGAGGCAUCUUUAUAUGAUUAAAGAAUUUCGGAAACGGAUAGGCUCGCGUGACAUUAGCUAGAUGGCGGGGUAACGGCCCACCAUGGCGACGAUCAGUAGCCGGUCUGAGAGGAUGAACGGCCACAUUGGGACUGAGAUACGGCCCAGACUCCUACGGGAGCAGCAGUGGGGAAUAUUGGGCAAUGGGGGAAACCCUGACCCAGCAACGCCGCGUGAAGGAGAAGGCUUUCGGGUUGUAAACG
rnacentral:rRNA from 1 species